CGUGGCUUUGAUUCUGGCGCCUGCGUGUCAGCAGCGCGGCGUGGCCGGGAAAGCUGGGCCCCGCUCUGGGGGUCCCCCUGAUGGGCCUGAGAGGAAAACGCUUUGAAAUUGAUGGGAGCUGGGAAAGCCACUGAGAGGGACGUCCUCCCCUUGAGGCUGGCCCUUGAAACUAGAAAACCUGGUUGGAGUCUGCAAACCGCGAUGCAGGAUGUGGGCACCGAGAAAAAGCAAGAGAUCCCAGUCAGGACUUCGUUGGCCCAAACCACGGUCUGCAUGUCAGCAAAGACUUGGUUAUAAUCUCUGCAUACCUAAGAUUGCUUAGUUGAGCCAUCUUUUGGCAGCCCUUCGACGACCUUCACUAAAUCCUGGUUUCUUAGGAGCGCCCUCAUUUAACACCAAGGCCCUUUAGUUGCCUAUACAAAGGGAGGGCUUACAGUUAAUGACCUUUGUGCCCACACAGUAGUACAAGGUCAGCUAACUUAAUGUGCCCAGUGAAUGUCGAUCGGGUUAUUGGGAACUUCCUGAGAGAUGGAGCACCUUCGUUAGGAUUUCUGUUUCACAAUCUCAAGGCUUUAUUUUAGCACCUCUCUGCAAUACUUAAACAUAACCUUUGAGGUGAGAGGGAAAGGACAUUAAAAUAUCUACAUAACCA
rnacentral:lncRNA from 1 species